rnacentral:rRNA from 1 species
CCUACCUACCAUCUUGAAUACGCCCAGUCUUGUCUGAUCUCAGAAGCUAAGCAGGGUUGGGCCUGGUUAAUAAUACUUGGAUGAGAUAAGAGGAAAGUGAGCUUUGGUGAGU